GCUCGCUGGGAGGAGGUGCUUUUCUCGCGUCUCCUGUGGGAAGCGCCCUUGAGCAGAGCCCCCUGCUAGCGUAAGGGCCCCGAGGCCGGCCUUUCAGAACCCCGGGGUCCCUUCUGGGCUCCCUACCAGGCCCGCGCUCCUUCAUCCUGGCCUCUGGGGCCGAGGCGUGCACUCACAUCUACAGAGUGGAGGUGCUCUUCUCGUCCUGGGUGUACCCCCUGCCGGAUGGGCAUUUCCCUCUGCCCGGCUGGACGCCGCCUGCUGCUGGGCACCCUCGGGAGCCCCUGCCCCUUCUCAGCACAAAAGGGACGCUCAGCGAUGCCUUCCUCCUGUUGCCUGCCACCUACGAAGAGCCCCAAAGAGUGACCCUGUUUCCAAAUAAGAUCACGUUCACAGCUGCUGGGGUCGAGACGUCAACAUGGAUUUGAGGAGGACUCAGUUCAACCCACAGCGGUUAAAUACCCUGAGUUUCACCCCAGCGCCAGCCCUGGCUUCCCAGAGAGUAAGUGCAUGUGGCAACGCGGCACGAUUUGGGUGUGGGCGAGGGGCUUGCAUUCUUGGGCGGUGGGGCUGCAGUGC